GACGAACCGUGCGAACGUUAUUCGGAAUCACUGGGCUUAAAGCGCGUGUAGGCGGGCCGGCACGUCGAUGGCUGAAAUCCCCCGGCUCAACCGGGGAAGUGGCCUCGAUACGACCGGCCUGGAGGGGGGUAGGGGGCGCCGGAACUUCCGGUGGAGCGGUGAAAUGCGUUGAGAUCGGAAGGAACGCCCAUGGCGAAAGCGGGCGCCUGGACCCCACCUGACGCUGAGACGCGAAAGCCAGGGGAGCGAACGGG
rnacentral:rRNA from 1 species